CAGACAUUUUGUGCUAAAAUAGAAAUUAAAAGUGUCUACUGCCAGUCACACCUAAAACAAAGCUAACUCCAUUUUGGAUUCAGAGAUACAAUUUCUGUCUAACUCCAGUCAUUAAAGGACCACUAUAGUGCCAGGAAAACAUACUCGUUUUCCUGGCACUAUAGUGCCCUGAGGGUGCCCCCACCCUCAGGGUCCCCCUCUCGCUGGGCUCUGGGGAAAGGAAGGGGUUAAACUUACCUCUUUUUCCAGCGCCGGGGGGGAGGUCUCCUCCUUCUCUCUUCCCUCUUCUCCUCCUCUUCGGCUAAAUGCGCAUGCACGGCAAGAGACGCGCGCACAGUCAGUCCAUAGGAAAUCAUUCACAAUGCUUUCCUAUGGACGCUGGCGUCUUCUCACUGUGAAAAUCACAGUGAGAAGCACGCAAUCACCUCUAGCGGCUGUCAAG